rnacentral:rRNA from 1 species
GCUGGCGGCGUGCUUAACACAUGCAAGUCGAACGGUACAGAAGCAGCUUGCUGCUUGCUGACGAGUGGCGCACGGGUGAGUAUAUAUAGAUAUGUGC